CCACACACUCUGAGUUUCGUUUCUAGAGUUAUCAACCUCUGCCUCUCGCAGUCUCUCUCACUGUCUUCUUUCUGUCUGCGGCUCUGGCAUUACACAAAGCCUCUGAACUAAACGUUUGUGUGUCUCAUUGGUGAUAGUGGCAGUUUCUCUGUGAUAGUGAGUUUCCAGAUAGUUUUUAGUGAUACGGUCUCUCUCUCUCUCUCUCUCUCUCUCUCUCAUCUACGUUUCUGGCAGUUCACAUAAUGGCUGAAGCAAACAUUUCCCUGUCUGAGGAGCAGUUCAGCUGCCCGGUGUGUCUGGAGAUUCUUAAAGAUCCUGUUACCAUCCCCUGUGGACACAGUUACUGCAUGGAGUGCAUUGAUUACCACUGGAAACAACCUGAGCAGCGAAAUGCCAUCAGCUGCCCCCAGUGCCGACUCAACUUCUGUCCUAAACCCAUCUUGAGAAAAAACUUCCUCUUGGCUGAUGUUGUGGAGAAACUGAAGCAGACGGGAUUUAGCCCCGCUCUCUCUGCUCACAGUCUCACCAAGCCUGGACAUGUGCCCUGUGACUUCUGCACUGGGCGAAAACUUGGAGCGGUGAGAUCCUGUCUGACUUGCAGCGCCUCCUACUGCCAGGAGCACCUCAAACCUCACUUCACUGUCUUGCCUUUCAAGAGGCACCAGCUGGUGGAGGCCACUGGAGAUCUGGGGCAGACACUAUGCCAGCAGCACCACAGACCACUGGAGGUGUUCUGUAAGACUGACUGGAGCUUUGUGUGUCUACUGUGUGCAGCCACCAAACACAGGAGCCACUGUACAGUCACCCCUGAGGAAGAGCGAGACAGCAAACAGGCAGUGGAGCUGCACUCGUGUGUGUGGUGGAAGGAAGGCAUGCAGCUGGCCAAGCAGCUGUACGACAUGCUCAAGGCCUGGAUUCCCAAGCGAGAGGCCUCUGCCAGCCAGCUGAGGUACAUUGCCCAGCAGCUGGAAAGGCUGAGACGAGAAGCAAACUACAGCCGCAAAGUGAGGGGUCUGGCCGCUGUGGGGGCCUUUGUUUCCGCAGUGUGCACUGCAGGCCUGGGUGCGCCACUGCUGGGUGCAGUGGCUGGAAGCGUAGCAGUCACGACGGCUAUGACGGCCAUAUGGGGCAUGGCGCAGAGAGUAGAGAGCUUCAAGACCAGCGACUGCAUGAAGACCGCCUUGAAGAUCACGGAGACUGACAAGGAGGCUGCCAAAGAGGUGGUCGGGCUGAUGAAGGAGCUGGACAAGAUGGCCGAAAGGAUCGCAUCCUCUCAAAGGUGUGUCGACAGCCCAGAACCGCUCAGGAAGGAGCACAUCUUCACAAGAUUAGUCUCCGCAGGGCUGUUCGCUGGUACAACCCUCCUGACUGAGCGAAACGUGAACAAGAUGGCCUUCCUGAUGAGCAAGCUGGCAAAGAACAUGAGGGCCAUCGUUGUGACUGGCAAGACAGCGGCCUGUGGACCCAGGUUGGUCUUCUCGAUAGUUGGGCUGGAAUUUGACAUCACAGUCUUGGUCAACGCUGCCCUGGAACAGGCCACGAAACAAGGGAAUGAGGCCUCCAACAUGUUAAGACAAGCGGCAGACCAAAUUGAAGAAAGUCUGAAAGAGCUCAAGAACACCCUGGUGAAAUUGAGUUAGGUGUGACGCUGUUUGGAACACCCUGGUGAAAUUGAGUUAGGUGUGAUGCUGUUUGGUACACCCUGGUGAAAUUGAGUUAGGUGUGACGCUGUUUGGAACACCCUGGUGAAAUUGAGUUAGGUGUGAUGCUGUUUGGUACACCCUGGUGAAAUUGAGUAAGCUGUGAUGCUGUUUGGAACACCCUGGUGAAAUUGAGUUAGGUGUGAUGCUGUUUGCAACACAGAGAUUGUUUGGAUUUCAAAUCAUUCUGAGCAUGGAGGAGCAAAUAUUGAACACUUAUUAUGUGAUUUUCAGAGAUGGGGCAUAGAGGCGCCCCCUAGUGACAACAAUUAAUAACUGUGGUAUUUAUGUAAACAGAAAACCACAAAAUGGAUUCAUAUUUCAUUUUGCUUUUUUUUCCAAUAAAUAAGAAUAAUUUCCACCAUUGAUA